rnacentral:rRNA from 1 species
CCCUUAGAUGUCCUGGGCCGCACGCGCGCUACACUGAGUGUCUGAGAUACGAGUCUGCCUGGUCCGGCAAGGUCUAGGUAAUCGCUAAAAGACACAUCAUGCUUGGGAUAGAUUAUUGCAAAUAUUAAUCUUGAACGAGGAAUUCCUAGUAAGCGCAAGUCAACAGCUUGCGUUGAUUACGUCCCUGCCCUUUGUACACACCGCCCGUCGCUACUACUGAUUGGAUGUUUAAGCGAGGUUCUCGAACUGCUAGCGACUUCGCUUCGGUGAGGUCGCAGUGUGGGAAGUGAACCUAGCUUUGGUGUCUAGAGGAAGUAAAAGUCGUAACA